rnacentral:rRNA from 1 species
ACCGGCUAACUCCGUGCCAGCAGCCGCGGUAAUACGGAGGGUGCGAGCGUUAAUCGGAAUUACUGGGCGUAAAGGGUGCGUAGGUGGUUGAUUAAGUUAUCUGUGAAAUCCCUGGGCUUAACCUGGGACGGUCAGAUAAUACUGGUUGACUCGAGUAUGGGAGAGGGUAGUGGAAUUUCCGGUGUAGCGGUGAAAUGCGUAGAGAUCGGAAGGAACACCAGUGGCGAAGGCGGCUACCUGGCCUAAUACUGACACUGAGGCACGAAAGCGUGGGGAGCAAACAGGAUUAGAUACCCUGGUAGUCCACGCUGUAAACGAUGUCAACU